UACGAAGGGUGCAAGCGUUACUCGGAAUUACUGGGCGUAAAGCGUGCGUAGGUGGUUCGUUAAGUCUGAUGUGAAAGCCCUGGGCUCAACCUGGGAAUGGCAUUGGAAACUGGCGACCUAGAGUGCGGUAGAGGGUAGUGGAAUUCCCUGUGUAGCGGUGAAAUGCGUAGAGAUGGGGGAGAACACUCGUGGCGAAGGCGGCCAGCUAGACCAGUUCUGACACUGAGGCGCGACAGCGUGGGGAGCAAACAGG
rnacentral:rRNA from 1 species